GAUGAAGAACGCAGCGAAAUGCGAUACGUAAUGUGAAUUGCAGAUUUCAGUGAAUCAUCGAAUCUUUGAACGCACAUUGCGCCCGCUAGUAUUCUGGCGGGCAUGCCUGUUCGAGCGUCAUUUCAACCAUCAAGCCCUGUGCUUGUGUUGGAGCCCUGCGGCUGCCGCAGGCUCCCAAACCCAGUGGCGGGCUCGUCGUCGUACCGAGUGCAGUAAACAUACCACGCUCAGGGCACGCGACGGGUGACCGGCCGUAAAACCCCCCCCCUUCUCAAGGUUGACCUCGGAUCAGGUAGGAAUACCCGCUGAACUUAAGCAUAUCAAUAAGCGGAGG
rnacentral:misc_RNA from 1 species